AAGGUGUGGUUGUGAAAGGAUCCAGGGAAAUUGUUUUUCAUGAUUGGUUGAAAGGUCAAUUGACAUCUCGUCCCAUUUUGCUUUGUUGGAAAGCACACAUAGUAAAGGUGAAGUGCCUGUUUACUUGUUAGUAAACUUAAUUGAUGUAGUGUAAUUGAAGAUUUAACUUAGAACUGGAUUCCUGCGAGAACUCUUUUCAUGUUUCUAGUCUUGUUGAGUCUGGAUCAAGACAGGAUCUCCAGCAAGUUUUUUUAAAGAGUUAAUCUCCAACGAGUUUUGAAGAGACGCAGCUCAAAAUCUUGCCAAGUCGAGUUGAAUGAUAGGGUAAUUAGGUUCUCAUUGUCCUUUUCUAAAGUGUAAAUCUUACUAAUUGUAUUCAAUAUGUGCAGAGAAAAGCAGUUGUAUAGCACGUACUUGGGAACGAACCUGCUGAUGUUUACAGAGAAAAGCAGUUGUAUAGCACGUACUUGGGAACGAACCUGCUGAUGUUUACAGAGAAAAGCAGUUACAACACAUCGUGGUCCAAGAUGAAGUCCUAGCCAAUAGGUUGGGCCUUAUUCCCAUCAAAGCUGACCCAAGGCUGUUCGAAUAUGUUUCAGGUACUUCUUCAAGGUCUUUCUUCAAGGGAUUUGAUUUGUGGAAGGAAGAAACUGUAAUGAAGGUAAAAAAUCAAAGAUAAUAUGGUUUGCUAAAUCUGUUUCAGGCAUAUGAAUUACUAAAGAAUAAGCGGAGAAUUGUGAAAUCUGAACGUUUGAACUUUUUAACUGUCAAAAUGCAAAAGGUUGUCCCUCCUGAAAGACUUUUCAAUGAUUUAGAUUAUAGUAAAUGAUUUCCUUGUUCAAGGAAGGUUUCUGGAUUAUCUUUUGUUGUUUGACAGGAGCAUGAAUGUUGACCAUGAA